CCCAAACUUAAACUGAUGCUUGUCCUCAAGCGUCAACGACACUAACAAUAAUACAAUGCGAUGCAUGAAUGCAACUACGUGAUGAAUGAGUAAACUAUGAAGUCAUUGCCUUGUCAAUUUUUAAUACCUCAGAUUGUGCUAAUGUUCUCGACUUUCAUCUCUCUCGCUACCAAGUCAAUCACUCUUCUAUUUACAAGUGUGGAGUGCCCGUGUGUGCAAGCAUGCUCUUUUAUUGAGACAAGACAAAAACUACUACUCCCACAGAAUCCCAAUCAAAAAUCGUAAAAGUCUAAACUAACACCCCAUCACUCAAGUCCAACUAAAAGCCAAGGUCCCAAAGAAUGUCCACACCCUUCUAUUUUAUUCACUAUAUUUUUUUUUUCUUUUUGUCUCUUUUUAUUGGUGAUUAAUUGCUCGGUCUAAGGUCAGAGCGCUUCGCAGUGUAAAUGCGUUACG
rnacentral:lncRNA from 1 species